rnacentral:lncRNA from 1 species
GGAUGAGUUGUCUAGACUGCUGAGAAGGCUAACAAUAGCCUGGAUUGCUUCGAUGGCCCUUCUGACACCAAGCAAGGCGUGAGGGCACGAAGCUGGAAGGCUCCAAGGGUCCAGAUAGCAUUUUUUCAAACUGGAGAACACUAUCAAUACCUAGGCUAAAGGUGCUGCCCUGUGAGGGGCUGCAGGCUGAGUGAUGGAGGAGGCGAGGCAAAAAAAAAAAACUGCUCAGGCACAGUUUCUGCUGAUCUACAUCCAGACCUCAGAGCUUCGCGGGCCCCGGGCUCUCUCCAACCCACCCUGGCACAGAUGCUGGGAUGAGGUCAGAGCUAACCACCAAGCAGAACCAGGGAUCUCAGGACCUUGUUACCCAACCCCCGAGGCAGAAUCCCCAGCCCUCCUGUUUUCACUUAAAGAGGCCAUCCAGAGCUGCCAUGCUUCCCACUAAGGGAGCCCAGGACAGAUGGGUAAGGAAGGGAGCCAGAGAGUCCUCAGUGGCACUGUCCCCUGUCACACCAUCAGCCAUGGAGCAAACCAGCCUUUAUCGCCUACUCCCCAUGCCCAAGGUCUCUGUUAGAAAGUACAGGGGUGGAUGUGAAAACCCUUUAAGAAGCUAAAAACCAGGCCUGGUGAAGCAGAAGGCCCACUUGCCUGGGAGCAAGGAAGAUCAAGUUCCAAUCUUGGCCCUGCCUCCCCAAACUCCUCCCUCAGCCCUGGGGCUGGCGCCAGCUCCUACUCCAGGACUCACAUUGAGAUCUGUGGCUGUAGCCGAACCAGCGGUACUCGGCAGAGCCUUAGAGUCCAAACUCAUCUGUUUGGUUUCCAAAGGUCCUUCACAGACUGACCCCACCCUACCUACUCAGCCUGUUUCCCAUGAUUUCCCAACUCAAGCUGGGCUUCAAGCCCAGUGGUCUCCUCAUGGUCCCCUGAGGGAACAUUCCAGGCUCAUUCACAGAGUUUCUCAGGCCUGCCAUGCCCUGGCUGCUCCUUUCUGACUAAUCGAACAGUGCCCAGCCAGCAAGGUCCUAACUGAGUCCCCGAGCUCCUGGAGCUGGUUAUGCCCCAAUAACCACAACUGCCACAGUUCUUAAAUUCUACAUGAUCUCUUGAACCAUUUGAACUGCUCUUUGACUUUUUUUUUUGAGGUAUUGGGGAUUGAAUCCACAGCCUUCUCACUGAGCUACAUCCCCAGCCAUUUUUAAUUUUUCUUUUUGAAACAAAGACUCACUAAAUUGCUAAUCUGCUCAGGUAGUCCUUGAACUUAUGAUCCUCCUCCCUCAUCCUCUCAGAGUGCUGAAAGUACAGGCACGCACCACCACACCUGGCACUUUAUUUUUUUUUAGACAUGGUCUCCCUAGGUUGACCUAGAACUUAGAGAUCCUCCUGCCUCAGGCUCUCUAGUGUGGGGAUUACAUAUGUGAGCCGCUACGCCCGGACCUCCCAUAAUAUUCUUUAACUAUCUCAUGUGUGUCUCCAUUUCCCCAACAGACAGUAACAUCCAUGGAUUCCAGGCCCAUUUCAACUUCUAAGACAGGCAUGAACAUUCAUGAAGCAAGUCCAUGUAAAUUAUCAUCCCAUAGGUCCCGAUAGAUCUUAUGGCUAUGGUUUAAGAGUAGAAUAGGGGUAAAGUUGGGUAACAAAGGUCUCCAGCACUCCAACAUUACUACUCCUGUCUUGAUCCAAGCCUCUGUUAUGGGUAACACAUGCCUGCUCACGUCAUUUGUUCCAAGCAGUGUUGAGAAGGCAGGUGAUGAUCAGGUUAUCAUCAAGCAUUCCCUCUUUGUACACAACCACGGUGUUUCCACCCUGGGGAUAUUGGGCACUGGUCUGAUCACUGUGCUCUCAGCAAAGACUUCAUGAUGCUGGAUCAGAUCUAGGAGCUAAAAUAGUUGGAGAGAAUAGGAUAUGAAAGGAACUACAUGAGGACAAACCUUUGUUUAAAGAAAGCUUUUGGCUUGGCAUGGUGGCACAUGCCUGUAAUCCCAGCACUUGGGAGGCUGAAGCAGGAGGAUCUCUGUAAGUUCAAGGCCAGUUUGGGCUACAUAAGUGAGCCUGAGGCCAGCCUGAAUUACACAGCAAGACCUUGUCUCAAAAAUAAAUAAAUAAGCAAACAACACAAAUAAAUAUAAAGAAGCCUUUUGUUGUCUAGACAGACAGGGUUGAAAAAAGAUGUGACUAGUAUCUGUAUAAUGAUGUAUGAAAUCAUAGACUCAUUCACCAAAAAUGGGUUGUAAAUGAAGGGCAAGUAAUAGUCUUAGUUUACAAAUGCAUAGUAAAGUUAAGGAGUGCUUUAGACUAAGAAUAUCAAUGAACAAGGCCAGGGAUUUAGCUCAGUGGUGCCGCAUCCGCCUGGCAAGUGCAAGGUCCUGAUUUCGAUUCCCAAUACCAG